GAUGAACGCUAGCGGCAGGCCUAACACAUGCAAGUCGAGGGAGGAGCCUUCGGGCUUCGACCGGCGUACGGGUGCGUACCGCGUAUACAAUCUGCCUUUCACAUAGGGAUAGCCCGAAGAAAUUUGGAUUAAUACCUAAUGGUAUAUAGAUGUGGCAUCACCUUUAUAUUAAAGCUGAGGCGGUGAAAGAUGAGUAUGCGUUCUAUUAGCUAGUUGGAGAGGUAACGGCUCCCCAAGGCGACGAUAGAUAGGGGUUCUGAGAGGGAUAUCCCCCACACUGGUACUGAGAUACGGACCAGACACCUACGGGAGGCAGCAGUGAGGAAUAUUGGACAAUGGUCGGAAGACCGAUCCAGCCAUGCCGCGUGCAGGAAGACGGCCUUAUGGGUUGUAAACUGCUUUUGCAGGGGAAGAAUAAGGACUACGCGUAGUUUGAUGACGGUACUCUGCGAAUAAGCAUCGGCUAACUCCGUG
rnacentral:rRNA from 1 species